rnacentral:tRNA from 1 species
GCCAGUGUGAUGGAAUUGGUAGACAUAGGGGAUUCAAAAUCCCCCGCUUAAUAGGCGUGCCGGUUCGAGUCCGGCUACUGGUACCA